CCCGCCAGACCUGACUGCUAUCGGAUUGAUACUAAGCCAUGCGAGUCAUUGUAGCAAUACAAGGCAUACGGCUCAGUAACGCGUAGUCAACCUAACCUAUGGACGGGAAUAACCUCGGGAAACUGAGAAUAAUGCCCGAUAGAACAUUAUACCUGGAAUGGUUUAUGUUCCAAAUGAUUUAUCGCCGUAGGAUGGGACUGCGGCCUAUCAGUUUGUUGGUGAGGUAAUGGCCCACCAAGACUAUUACAGGUACGGGCUCUGAGAGGAGUAGCCCGGAGAUGGGUACUGAGACACGGACCCAGGCCCUAUGGGGCGCAGCAGGCGAGAAAACUUUGCAAUGUGCGAAAGCACGACAAGGUUAAUCCGAGUGAUUUCUGCUAAAGAAAUCUUUUGUUAGUCCUAGAAACACUAACGAAUAAGGGGUGGGCAAGUUCUGGUGUCAGCCGCCGCGGUAAAACCAGCACCUCAAGUGGUCAGGAUGAUUAUUGGGCCUAAAGCAUCCGUAGCCGGCUCUGUAAGUUUUCGGUUAAAUCUGUACGCUUAACGUACAGGCCGCCGGGAAUACUGCAAAGCUAGGGAGUGGGAGAAGUAGACGGUACUCGGUAGGAAGUGGUAAAAUGCUUUGAUCUAUCGAUGACCACCUGUGGCGAAGGCGGUCUACUAGAACACGUCCGACGGUGAGGGAUGAAAGCUGGGGGAGCAAACCGGAUUAGAUACCCGGGUAGUCCCAGCUGUAAACUAUGCAAACUCAGUGAUGCAUUGGCUUGUGGCCAAUGCAGUGCUGCAGGGAAGCCGUUAAGUUUGCCGCCUGGGAAGUACGUACGCAAGUAUGAAACUUAAAGGAAUUGGCGGGGGAGCACCACAAGGGGUGAAGCCUGCGGUUCAAUUGGAGUCAACGCCGGG
rnacentral:rRNA from 1 species